rnacentral:rRNA from 1 species
CAGUCGCCGCGGGAAUACGUAGGGUGCAAGCGUUAAUCGGAAUUACUGGGCGUAAAGCGUGCGCAGGCGGUUAUAUAAGUCAGAUGUGAAAUCCCCGGGCUCAACCUGGGAACUGCAUUUGAGACUGUAUGGCUAGAGUGUGUCAGAGGGGGGUAGAAUUCCACGUGUAGCAGUGAAAUGCGUAGAUAUGUGGAGGAAUACCGAUGGCGAAGGCAGCCCCCUGGGAUAACACUGACGCUCAUGCACGAAAGCGUGGGGAGCAAACAGGAUUAGAUACCCGCGUAGUCCCUGUCUCUUAUAC